rnacentral:rRNA from 1 species
ACUGAGCAAUCACGAGCCCAGCCUUGGUCGAGAGACCCGGGUAAUCUUGUAACCUGCGUCGUGAUGGGGCUAGACUCUUGCAAUUAUUAGUCUUCAACGAGGAAUGCCUAGUAAGCGCGAGUCAUCAGCUCGCGUUGAUUACGUCCCUGCCCUUUGUACACACCGCCCGUCGCUCCUACCGAUUGGAUGUGCUGGUGAAGCCCUAGGACUGGCGGCCUUUGGUGGUUCUCCGCCGACGGUCGCCGGGAAUUCGGUUAAACCCUCCCAUCUAGAGGAAGGAGAAGUCGUAACAAGGUCUCCGUAGGUGAACCUGCGGAGGGAUCAUUGAAUCUAUCGUAUUGUAUACCCGCUAACCCAGACGUUGUGUUCCCUCGGUGCGGGCCCCUUGUGGGACCGCCCGAGCGCUUGUUCCUGGCCCAGCCACUGGCCGACCCGUUUGCGGUCGGUGAAGCCUGGGCAAAGGUCUUGCGGUGUGGGACCCUGCCUCUCCCCAGGGAGAGGGGGGCUGGCCUUCACGGCUGGCCUCGCCCGCUGGACAAAAUACCCACUCUAACCACACACCAAACAAAGCUGAAGCUUUGAGGAAGCCUCACGGCCGACUCACAAACCUAGACAACUCUCAACAACGGAUAUCUUGGCUCCCGCAACGAUGAAGAACGCAGCGAAAUGCGAUACUUAAUGUGAAUUGCAGAAUUCCGUGAAUCAUCGAGUCUUUGAACGCAUAUUGCGCCCGAGGCUUCGGUCAAGGGCAUGUCUGCCUCAGCGUCGGUUGACCCCUCUCGUCCACUUCCCUCGUGGAAGCAGACGGACCUGGCAGUCCCGCUGGCGACAGCGGGUCUGCUGCAGAACAGACGACGAGCCAGCCGCAGCGCCGCUCGAUUGGUAGGUUUUCUCCGGAAGACAUGCCGUCGAGUAGCCUGGGGACCAACUGCUCGUCCUACUAACGACGGGGGAGCGCGCAAGCCAUCCCCCUGACUCUCAUUUCAACCUGAG